UACGGAGGGGGCUAGCGUUGUUCGGAAUUACUGGGCGUAAAGCGUGUGUAGGCGGUCUUCUAAGUCGGGUGUGAAAUCCCUGGGCUCAACCCAGGAAGUGCACUCGAAACUGGAGGGCUAGAGUAUCGGAGAGGUUGGUGGAAUUCUCGGUGUAGAGGUGAAAUUCGUAGAUAUCGAGAGGAACACCGGUGGCGAAGGCGGCCAACUGGACGAAUACUGACGCUGAGACACGAAAGCGUGGGGAGCAAACAGG
rnacentral:rRNA from 1 species